rnacentral:rRNA from 1 species
AGCGGCGGACGGGUGAGUAACGCGUGGGUAACCUGCCUCAUACAGGGGGAUAACAGUUGGAAACGGCUGCUAAUACCGCAUAAGCGCACAGUACCGCAUGGUACGGUGUGAAAAACUCCGGUGGUAUGAGAUGGACCCGCGUCUGAUUAGGUAGUUGGUGGGGUAACGGCCUGCCAAGCCGACGAUCAGUAGCCGACCUGAGAGGGUGACCGGCCACAUUGGGACUGAGACACGGCCCAA